CCUCUGCUCUAAACAAUAGAUCCGUGUGACUAUAGCUGCUUCAAGUUCCUGUUGCCUUGAUUUCCCUGAAAUGGUGGACUGCAACCUAGAAUGGUCAAGGACCAACAGGAAGAUAAACUCAACAGAUGGAUCCAGGUUUUAGCCACCCACCAGCCAAAGCAGGGCCACUUGGACUGGGAAGGGAGGAACAUGCGCCGGUCUUGGAGGAAACCAGGUCUGCUAAUAGAGGUCUCCUGAAUGCUGCCAGACGUUACCUAGGGGAAUGAUGAGGAACCGCAUGUAACCCAGCCAGUCCGGGGUCUUGCUGGCAAGGGACUUGACAAAAAACCGGAGGAUGGAGCUCAGGUAACUCUGGCUUCCCACAGCUGCUACCUUGACUGGCCUCGGCAUGGAUGAGUUGCAGUUGCAGCUGGUAAGAAACAGGGUGUAUACACACCAUAUUUAGGCCUCAGAAUCCUGCUCAGGGCAGGUCUCAAGUUCUGACUUCAUGCAUUUCCAAAAGCCACAGGGGAAGCAUGCCAAGAAAGAAAAUGAUACAGGGAGAUAGCAAGCUAUAGUACUGCUCAAGAAGGCAGGCAGCUGUCUAUGGAGAAGGCAGAGGCUAACAGGAAGUUGGAAGUGCUGCCUAAGAGGCCUGGAAUUGCUGUCACAGGAGAGGGAAUACCAGGCCUCUCUAAGGUGAUCCUGGAGAGGUAAACAUAGGCUCUCCAUUAACAAACAGCAUGUUACCACAGAGGGAAGGAAUAUAAGGUAUUUUUAGAACCCUGUCCUUUCUUGUCUCAGAUUCAGGAGCAAGAUGAAGCAAGUCUAAGUAAGGCAUGAGUCGAGGGUGUGGAGGUGGUGGGAGCAUGAGUUUCAGGAGCUGAUAUUCUACUAGGGGCAUAGAGCACUGCUGCAGGCUCUGUCUCCAAGUACAAACUGGAGCUGCGACUUCCUAGCCUCAGAGUAACCAUCGCUAGAAGAAAUCAGAUGGGAAGAUGAGAUAGAGGAACCACAAAACAUCCUAAGAAAAGCCUUACUAGCGCUGAAUCCUAGUGAGCAGGGCAGACAACACGGCCUGGACCUCCACUGUUGAGCAGGUGCAUACAACAGGCUUCCUCUGGUCUUGAAGCAAUUCAGCCACAUACUAGAGGGGGGAAGGAAGGGACACAGGUAAGCUACACUACUCCCCACAAAUGAUGAGAAGGCAGGCAAGGCCCAGAUAGAGCUGCAGAGCACCUGUCCCCUUCAGGUUAUGUGUAAGAAAAGGACACAUCAGACCCCAUGGACAUGACAUGCUGACUGUGAAAUGAGGUGGAUUAAGGGUGCCAAGUGUCACCCAUGUCCAGGCAUCCUUGAAACUAAUGUCUAUGAGGCAGACAUAGAUGGCAGAUGAAGUCACUCUCCUGUCUCCCUGUGUGCUGUUUCAGGUCACACACUGGGAACAUCUGUAGACCCAUUACCCCUUGACCCUUAAUGCUCUACCUGGCCCUGCCAGUCUGUGGUGUUCACCAGGAUGACAUUUUCAGGGAGGGCUGCAUCGGAUACCAGGAUCUGAUUCAGCUGGUCGUAUACCACCUUUCUUGGAAUCUGUAGGAACAAGUGUUGGUUGGGCAGGUGGAAUAAUAAGACUUCUGGCACAAGGGUAACUAAGAAUUUGUGGAGACAGUCUCCCAUUGAUCAGACUGAAAUAGAGAUGAAGAGGAAGAUCAGUGUCCUUGGAGAAUAUACUAACACACCAGGCAUAACGUCACACCAGUAGUUGUUCUGGGGAGAGCCUGUGAGGCUCGGAAGCAAAGGCAUCAUGUGAACGGCAUGGCCCUAGGGGCUCUAGGGUAGCAUGGUGGGGACUGAGAGCAGCAAGUGAGCUGGUGCCUGGAGAAUGCAGCAAGGGCAGUGCGGAAGAGAACAAUGAGUGGCACCACGUGGGGCCCACUGUCCCGGGAACAGAGGUGUUUCAAGAGCAAUGAUCAAGCAAAGGACAAUACCUUACCCUAGGCACUGGGCUAUUCUAGUCUCAGUUCCACUUGCAGCUUUGUGACAGCAUCAAAUUCAGGAAGCCAUAUGCCCCAACCUUGUCCUUCCAUAAUAUUUAUUAAACUUUUCUGUUUAACUCUAGGAGAAGAGUAACCAGCACGGGUGGCUUCUUGCCCUAGUUCUGAUCCAGUGUCUCAGUGAGGACACCUCAGGUCUGGUUUAUGGUCACAUCUUCUCCAACUACCCUCAGGGUUGAGAGUAGCCUAAGAAGAGCUUGGAGUAACCAUGGCAGCAUUGGCAGGGGAGCAAUGCUAACAGUUCUUGUUCCUGUCCCUGUUCACCACCACUCAAAUGGAUCCCAAAUUCCACUUAGCAGAGGAUAACACUUAUGGUGGCUUCUCUAACUUAGGUAACCCAGAAAGGAGCUAACAUCCCUCCUUUUCCUCCACC